rnacentral:rRNA from 1 species
UACAGAGGGUGCGAGCGUUGUCCGGAUCACUGGGCGUAAAGGGCGCGUAGGUGGCGCGACAAGUCAGUGGUGAAAGUUCGACGCUCAACGUCGAAUCGGCCACUGAUACUGUUGGGCUUGAGCACUGUAGAGGCUAAUGGAAUUCCGGGUGUAGCGGUGGAAUGCGUAGAGAUCCGGAAGAACACCGGUGGCGAGGCGGUUAG